rnacentral:tRNA from 1 species
GCACGGGUGGCUCAGUGGGUAGGGCAUCAGCCCCAUAUACUGAGGGUGGCGGGUUCAAACCUGGCCCCGGACA